rnacentral:rRNA from 1 species
UACGGGGGGGGCAAGCGUUGUUCGGAAUUACUGGGCGUAAAGGGCUCGUAGGUGGCCAACUAAGUCAGACGUGAAAUCCCUCGGCUUAACCGGGGAACUGCGUCCGAUACUGGAUGACUUGAGUUCGGGAGAGGGAUGCGGAAUUCCAGGUGUAGCGGUGAAAUGCGUAGAUAUCUGGAGGAACACCGGUGGCGAAGGCGGCAUCCUGGACCGACACUGACGCUGAGGAGCGAAAGCCAGGGGAGCAAACGGG